CGGCGCUACAAAUCUAUUUUGUUCAUUGGUUAUGUCGUAUUUGGCUUCCAUACAAUUAGGAGCAUUCAGCAAAGAAAUGCAAUUGGCUUUACUUUUCGGCCCCGAGGCAAUCCUUCAUAGUUAUUGGUUAGAUCUACUUUAAGACGUCCCACCUACUUUACCCAUUGGUUCCAUUAUUUUACAGAAACGGAACAGAAUUCAUUUCAGAAGGGAAAAAUAGCCCCUUUUUCAUUUUGCGCAUGUCUAGUCGUAGGCACCAUACGCCAUUUUGUUCUAAUUGCAUUUAUUUUCCAUUUCGAUCGCGGGCUUGAAGACAACAGUACGGCGAUCAGUAAGUUGGCGUUGGUAGUUAUGCAUAAUUUACAAUUGUAGGAAGAUAAUCAAAACAUUAAAACCACACAGUGCGCUAAUUCUUAUUUCAUUUCAGUGAAACAUUUAAAAUGCCGUCAUGUAGAAAAGGUCAAUUGAAGGCUAUGAGUAGAGCAAUGGCGUCCCUUUUAUUUCUUUGGGACGUCAGAAACCCUUCUCUCAGAAAUGGCUUGGGGAUUACGUAACCGGAAGACCACAAGAAAGAAGGAAGUACAUGAGGUGGUUGUGAACAUAGAGGGAUACUGGAAAUUCAAAUGUUCGUAUGGCUGACAUCCAUUAAGAAUAUUCUACUGGAAAUGACUAAUCUGCAGACAUUUACGGACUAGAAAUGCUAAAAGGGAGCAUGUUUAUUG